GAGAGGAUGAAGAACGCGGUGGGACAGGAAGCGACAGAACAUGGCGACGCAGUUCGGACGCCGGAGAUGCUGCUGCGGGUGCUGCCGAUGGGACUCUGCCUAGCAGCUCUGGUGGUCAUGCUCAAAAACUCCCAGAGCAGCGACUACGGCUCCGUCUCCUACUCUAACAUCGGCGCCUUCAAGUACCUAAUUUAUGCGAAUGGCGCCUGUGCUACUUACUCUCUCUUCUCUGCUUUCUAUACCGCCGUGCCUCGCCUGCCUUCCAUGUCCCAAGCGUGGACCAUCUUCUUCUUUGAUCAGGUGUUGACGUACGUGAUUCUUGCGGCGGGGACGGUGUCGACGGAGAUCCUCUACCUUGCUUAUAAUGGUGAUGAGAAGGUGACUUGGAGCAAGGAGUGCGGAGUGUUCGGCAGCUUCUGCAAGAGGGCGUCGGCGUCCGUGGGCAUCACCUUCGGGGCUGUGGCUUGCUACAUCCUCCUCUCUCUCAUAUCCUCGUACCGGCUAUUCAGCACCUACCAAGCUCCCAUCCCUUUCCUCAGUUCCAAGGGUGUUGAGAUCGCGGCCUUUCCUCGCUGAGGCUGAGAGCUCCGCCCGUUCUGCAGCAAGUCAACGUCGUGCUCGUAUAUUGUGCACUUUGGUAUCAUGGUUUGCAAAUAAUAUGUUCUUGCUAAAAUUGUCUCUCUUUUUUACUUCUAAUUAUGUUUGGGUGAGCGUGUUUCUAAAGUUGAAAUAUGUCCAACUUGUAUCAAAGCUGAAAUAUGUCCAACUUGUAUCAAAGC
rnacentral:misc_RNA from 1 species